AACGAACGCUGGCGGCAUGCCUAACACAUGCAAGUCGAACGAGACCUUCGGGUCUAGUGGCGCACGGGUGCGUAACGCGUGGGAACCUGCCUUUAGGUUCGGAAUAACUCAGAGAAAUUUGAGCUAAUACCGGAUGAUGUCUUCGGACCAAAGAUUUAUCGCCUUUAGAUGGGCCCGCGUUGGAUUAGCUAGUUGGUGGGGUAAAGGCCUACCAAGGCGACGAUCCAUAGCUGGUCUGAGAGGAUGAUCAGCCACACUGGGACUGAGACACGGCCCAGACUCCUACGGGAGGCAGGAGUGGGGAAUAUUGGACAAUGGGCGAAAGCCUGAACCAGCAAGGCCGGGUGAGUGAUGAAGGCCGUAGGGUUGUAAAGCUCUUUUACCCGAGAUGAUAAUGACAGUAUCGGGAGAAUAAGCUCCGGCUAACUCCGUG
rnacentral:rRNA from 1 species